CAUUCUUACUCUCCGUGGGCAAAAGUUUCAGCCAGGCCAAGGGCACAUGAAGGAAUCCAAGGCCGACUGCCAAAGACCGGAGGUAAAAAGACGCUGGAGGAGUUCAGAAGUUCAGGCAAAUAAAAGAGGAUUAUCGUUCAAGGCUUCUGUGAACCAGAGAGAAGGUGAACUGACAGGCAGCCCUGGGCGUGGCCCGGGGCGGGGCGGGGCGGGGCGGGGCAGGGGUGAGGGGAGGAGAGCGGCCCUGAGCCGGAGCUCGGAGCUCUGCAGGGAGGUGUGUGCUUGCAGCUGGCAGGCGGGCCGCCUCAGGAAACCGCGCUUGAUUAGAAAAGGCUGCAGAGGGCCCUGUGGAACAAAGGAAGGCAAGGAGGUCCAAAGAUGGAGCCCCCGUUGGUGAAGCUAUUGGAAGGAAAGAAUGAGAGUGAACCGAUUCAUUAACAAUCUUGGCAGCGUCUAAAAGAAAACCUCUACAGAAAUGGAGAGAAAAUCCGGCAACAGAAGAAGAGAAAAGAAGAUUCUUGGGAAUAUGGCACAUGCAUCCCUGAAGCAAUUAAUCAGUGUUUUUCCACCCUUGGUUUCAUAUGGUGGUUGUGUUGCCCAGUGUGAACCACAGAAAGAUUAGUUUUGAUGAGGAAGUUUUGUUCAGGCCACGUGUCUAACCUGUGUACAGGAGGGUUAACAGUACUGUGUUAGAGAGCGUUUCAAGUGUGAAUUUUUUUUUUGGAGUGAUUUAUUUUUUUUUUAAUUUAUUAAUUAAAAAAAAUGUUAAUGUUUAGUUUUGAGAAAGAGUAUUAAUGGGGGAAGGGCAGAGAGAGAGAGAGGGAGAGAGAAUCCCAAGCAGGAUCCGCACCAUCAGCGUGGAGCCUGAUGCAGGGCUGGAACCCACACACCGUGAGAUCAUGACCUGAGCGGAAAUGAAGAGUCAGAUCCACCCAGGCGCCCCUGUGUGAGCAUAUUUUUUAAAAAUACAUACAAAAGAAUAAAUACAAGAAAAUGCAUACGGGAGUAUUAGGAGAGAAUCAUGUAGGGAAGUCACUUUCCUGGUCAAGAAUCCAUAAAUGCACUUCUUGUCCAGGUGUUUGAGGCCUUCUAUAAUCUUGCCAGCACGUGGUGCUAUUUUAGGGAGGGAGAUGGUGGCCGAGGAAGGAAAGAACAUACUAGAACAUACUGGAAAGACUUUGCGGGGGAGGUAGCAGGAGGAGAAGUUAGAGGCUGGGCAGUUGAUUUAUAAGAGUUGGUUGCACCGCUGGGUCUGGUAUGUUUGGUGAGAAUGGGGUAGUACUGGGGUCACCAAUCUGGAGAGGAUACUUUGGGCCAUCCUGUGAAAAGCCUUUGUUAGCAGGCUGAGAAAUUCGUACUCAACUAGAGUAGCCAUUAGGACCCACCGAAGGCCUUCGAGCGGCAGAGUGACCCUGAAGCGUGUAAUCUCAGAGCUGAAAGAAGACGUAAAGGCCUUUGCUUUCAUGCCGAGUUUGACCUCUCUGUGCCUAGUGCGGGCUUGGCUCUUGCUUUCUCACUGCCGUGUGUGUUAAAUGAGAUGAUACUUACAAAGCACUCAGCUCAGGGGUUCCCGUAGAAUGAAGCUCAAUAAACGUUGACCGAUAUGGUCACUGUCAUCAUGAAUCUGGUUCCCAUUUAGGAAGGUUUUCCUUAAGCCUCUUUCCACAUUUGUCUUAUGUGAGGACAGCCUUUUCUUCAGACGGAAUAUAUCGCUGGUUUCUUCCCCCCACUCCUCAUUUUUUUACCUUUCUUUUUUUUUUUUUUUUUAAGUUUUUAUUUCUUGUGAGAGAGAGAGAACGAGCAGGGGAGGGUCAGAGGGGGCAGGGGAACAGAGAAUCUGAAGCAGGCUGACAGCAGAGAGCCCAAUGGUGCGGCUCAGACUCACCAAUUGUGACCUGAGCUGAAACUGGGCAGUUAACCAACUGAGCCACCAAGGUGCCCCUCUUUUCCCAUUCUAACUCUGAUCCUUGUAAAGUGUGGUACACAGAACCCACUUGUGUGAUUUCACCUGACCAGAGUUAAGCCUCUCCAUUCUAUCAUUCUACAGACAAUGACUGAAUUGGAAGAAAAAAAAAAAGAACAAACACAAGAAACAAACUAAGAUUUUUGUAGGCAGCCUCAUCAGACUGAAUAGAAUACUGAUUUAUCAAAAAAAAAUUUUUUUUAACGUUUAAUUAUUUUUGAGAGACCGAGAGAAACAGACCAUGAGCAGGGGAGGGGCAGAGAAAGAGAGGGAGACACAGAAUCGGAAGCAGGCUCCAGGCUCCGAGCUGUCAGCACAGAGCCCGACGCGGGGCUCGAACUCAUGAACUGUGAGAUCAUGACCUGAGCCGAAGUCGGACGCUCAAUCCACGGAGCCACCCAGGCGCCCCUGAAUAUAAUACCGAUGGAAAUUCCUAAGCCAUUCCCACAUGCCCUCCUGCUGAGCUACAACCCUUUCCACUCUGCUUGCACUUGGCCCUGUACAAAGCCUCAGAUUGCUUCAUGAUGACGUUUCCUCUUAUUGUUGGGAACAAUUGUCAAAGGCCUUGAAAUGGGCAAAACAAUCACUGAGUUUCUUUGAAGGGAUUGCUGGGCGUUAUCUGGCAGAUUCUUCCGGGUUGCCUGCUUUGACAGAGGUCUGUGCCUUUCACUGUUUUCGACUAAACUAUUUUGCGACUGUGAGUUAUAGAAAGCCCAUCGCAAUGCAAAUCUUGUCCACCGAGAAACAGAAAUGAAUUUUGUCCGGUGGACGUGCGAUUGAUUUCCACCCCAUGAAAGAGGCUGCCAAUCUUACAUCUAGUAGCAAAUUUAUUUCACCAUUUCUAAUUGCUUUUAUGUGAGUCUAUUCUUUGGGUACUGCUUGAACCGGUAACAUUUUGUAAUAUUUCACUGCCUCUGUGACCAAUUAAUGAAUAGUUAAUUGAUGGACACAUGUCUAUUUUAUAUUUGUAUAAGAACCCUGAUUGUUGCUUAAAAAUAAUGUUUAGGGGUGCCAGGGUGGCUCAGUGAGUUGAGUGUCCAACUCUUGAUUUUGGCUCAGUCAUGAUCUCAUGGUUGUGGGAUCGAGGCCCACAUCGAGCCCCAUGCUAAGCAUGGAGCCUAUUUGGGAUUCUCUCUCUCUGUCUCUCUGAAUCUCUUUCUCUCUCUUUCUCUCUGCCAAAAAGAAAUAAACAUUACAAAAAAUCUUUAACGCUGAUUUUCUCACGUCUUCACAGCUGGCGAGGCAUGAACAGGGCAAAAAUGGAAACUAAACAAACAGUAAAGACCCUGUUUGAGAUUGAAAUGGGUCUGCUAACCCGUAUCUCUAAGUAAAGUUGUUCAACCAGUUACUAAUCCAUUUAAUCAUACUGAUACCCUUCUACUUGCAAACAGGCUGUCCCUAAGUGUGAUUUUCUUAAGUCCAAAGUGAUUAAGAGGGGUUAAAACCUGCUGUCCCCAGUGAUCAUUCCCACCAAGGAUGAGCAGAGGUCAGAUUUUAUAACUUUAAAAUCAGUCAUAGAUUUCUCCUCCUUGCUCAUUUACAUUUUAAUGGAUACCCUUUGCCAGGAUAGAUUAGUUUUACCCACACUGAAAAUCCUUAAUGAUCUUGUUGAAUGGAACUGAGCAGGAGAAAUAUAUUGCUCUGGAGAAGGGGAAUUUGGGGGUUGGUUAGUAGAAACAGAAUGUGUUAAGUGGGUAAAGUUAAGGCCUGUUACAGGCCGCCGAGACUUGGUGGAGGAACAGAUACGGUGAUGAGGAGGUGGCCGCAGUGAUGGCAUUUUUGGCUACAUGACAAUGAGCCCACUGAGAAUGCCGUUGGGCUGAAUGAAUGGAGGAGACGGCAUAAGGGACACCUCAAUGGUGCCGGCGCUCUUCUCCCUGGAAACAGGGCCCUUCCCGCGUGCUCGUGAUGUUAUAAUGAUAAAGUAAGCAGGCGAAUCUGGUCUCAAGCAAGCCUACAUCUAGGGAUGGCACCCUGGCAGAAGGAGAGGAGGGUUCAGCAGUCAGAGGACGAGAUGCUGGACAGGAAAGAAUGAGUUAGGAGAACAGGAACUGACGAGGCAGGCCGGGCGCUGGAGACCUUGGGUACUGCCUACCGGUAGCUUCUCCCAGUUUGGGUCGGUGGGUCUGAGUACAUGAUAGUCUGAAGUAUGGCUCCACCAUGCCUCACCAUGGCCAUCGGUGCACCAAAGCUACAUCUGUUUAGAAGGAACAAGAGAGAUGAGACAACAAGUCGUGGUUAGUGUGCAGGACAUUCCUUAGCACUUGCUGCCUUCAAAUGCAGAAACUGCUGACAAUGGCGUUGUGAUGCCCACUUGACCGCAGUUGAUCGUGGGUGAAGCCGUCGAACUCUCACUCUGUCCGCAUCUAUGAAAGGUCUUCUGCUGAAAAGCUUCCGUGUUCUGUUUUAGCCCACACUCUCGACCUUCUCUCCGAGGAUGAUGAGAGAGGGACUUAUUUAAUGUCUUGCUAAAGUCCUAACUCGGUGAGUUUAAUACUUUUUUCUAAUUUACUGGGGUAGCUGUAGAAAGAAAUUAAAUUAACUGGGGCACCUGGGUGGUUCAGUAGGUUGAGCGUCCAACUUCGGUUCAGGUCAUGAACUCAUGGAUGUGAGUUCGAGCCCCGCGUCGGGCUCUGUGCUGACAGCUCAGGGCCUGGAGCCUCCAUGGAUCCUGUGUCUCCGUCUCUCUCUGUUGCUCCCCCUCUUUCUCUCUCUCUCUCCCACUCUCUCUCAAAAAUUAAGAUUUAAAAAAAUUUUUUUAAGAAAGAAAGAAAUUAAGUUAAUCUGACAUAACACAGCUGUGCCUUAGAACGGUUAAUUUGUCAUCGGCGUGUAGGGUGUAUGGAGGGGGAGAGAGAGGGCAGGAAGGAGUGUCAGGGAGAUGGCACUUGUUGGCAGUUGUGCCCUUGACAAUGGCAGUUGACUGUGUAAGAGGCUACAGGGGUGGAGAAGUAUGAGCUGAGUGAAGGCUUCAGACAGAGCAACUGAAAGGCCAUUGGCAGUCUUGGGGUGGAGGGGGCGAGCUGGAUUAAGGAAGGAGUAGGUGGGUAGGGCAUGGAGACAACGGGUGUAAACCAGUCAUACGAGCGGAUUGGUGUGAAGAGAAGGCGAGACGGGCUGGGUAGCGGGACUGGGAAGGAGGGUUGUUUUUAGAAUUGGGGACUUUGGGGACAGUCAUAAAAACAGGGAAGGAAUGAAUGAAUCUGGAAAGACUGAAGACGUGAGCAGAGAAGGGAGAGAACUGGUGAAGUGGAACCCUGGGGAGGUUGGAAGGGGCGCCAUCAGGAGCAUGAGCACACGGAAGGAGGAGCCAUGGGAAGGAAGGAGGACGCUUGUUUCUGAGAAGAAAGGUGACGGCUUGGAUGGGCAGUCAGGAAAACGUAGGCGUAAAGUGAAGGCGUGUUGGAAUAGGUCAUUUCAGAUGCUGUCAAAAUUUUUUUAAGGCAAGGCAAACCUGAGGAUGAGGAGUGGGGAGAGGUGGGGACCCAGUUAACCGCCCACUCGAGUGCCUUAAUGUUGCCCUUGCUCCUUAGUGCCCUCAGGCCCUUGACCCUCCAUUAUGUCCAACCUGCUCAACUCUACUUCGGGGAGACAGAUUUCCUGUGUUCGUGGCAUUUACAUUCCACUGAGGUUGUCAGACAGAAAGUAGUGGUGGUGACAAUAUGUUAUUAUUAUAAUAAAACAGAACUGUGAACAAAUACGAGGCAGGGUAAGAGUAUAGAGGAUGCUGGAGAAAGGAUAGUG